rnacentral:rRNA from 1 species
GUGGCUUUGCCACAAAUACGAUGUCAACUACAUGAUCAUGCAAAGCAAUACGACAAUGAUGGAGCGUGUCAUAAUAAACGGAACAGUGGAAAGCUGCAUGGCAAUAUAUCUCGGAAUGGCUAUGGAAAUGCCAUAAUAGGUAGGUAUGGUGGCUGUUUUGAGGAAGGUAACAGUCACAUACUUGAUCAUUGUCAAGCGAGUGAACAAAAUGUAGAAUACAGUCCAACCUUGAUACCCUUUGAUGAGAAACAUGAAGCUAUUUACGCGACGCAACAUGCCCCUACGAACGAGACAAAUCUGGAAGAAUAUAAUCAAAGCAACGUAACAGUGGCUGCAAUUGUUGACCCAAUAUACACGACCGAAACAGAAUGGGUAAUACCUGGACAACAUGAUGCAGACAACACAGCUUACGAAAAGGCUGAAACUGGAUCUUUAAUUAAUGAAUGUAGAAAAUACGCUGAGGAAGCAAGGGAGCAGUACAAUGCACGGAAGCGUGCUGCUUAUCGGAAGAAAAAAGAUAAUGAUAUUGUCAACUUACAAGAUGAGAAUCAGCCUGUACUUGCUAAAACUGAUCAUAGGGAUCUUAUCAACGCUCGUAGGCGGGCGGCUUAUCACAAUAUCAAGCCAGGUUGUUUGGAUAAACAUAGUUUCAAUGGCUAG